rnacentral:snRNA from 1 species
AAAACACUACCGUAAAACAAUGA